UUUUUUUUUUUUUUUUCUUUUUAGAAAAAACAUUCAGCCGUGUUCGGAUACCCCCACUUCCCUUCACCACAUCACAUCUCUCCCAUGGAUCCAGAAGGCUUCUAUAAGGCUGGCUCGGAUGUGACACAGAUCAAUGGCCCAAACGUUGGCAGGGACAACAAAAACUGCCUUCCUCAACAGCCUUAAGAUUGUGAAAACGACAGGAAGUUCAGGACCCUCAAUGCAGAAAACAUUUCAGUGACACGAAGAUAAGCAUAAAUAGAAAGACACCUUGUAUCUGCCCGCUCUCCCCUCCUGCCCAGGCC
rnacentral:lncRNA from 1 species